AGCCUAGUCCAAGUGUAGUGCUAUUUAUAAUUGAUCGCAAUCAGUUACAGAUUCCUUUGUUCCUUCUCCAUUCUUACUGCUUCACCAGACCAGCUUAAA
ensembl:misc_RNA Y_RNA Y RNA